rnacentral:rRNA from 1 species
AGCGAACGCUGGCGGCAGGCCUAAUACAUGCAAGUCGAGCGCCCGUAGCAAUACGGGAGCGGCAGACGGGUGAGUAACACGUGGGAACGUACCCUUCGGUUCGGAAUAACCCAGGGAAACUUGGGUUAAUACCGGAUACGCCCUUACGGGGAAAGAUUUAUUGCCGAAGGAUCGGCCCGCGUCUGAUUAGCUAGUUGGUGAGGUAACGGCUCACCAAGGCAACGAUCAGUAGCUGGUCUGAGAGGAUGAUCAGCCACAUUGGGACUGAGACACGGCCCAAACUCCUACGGGAGGCAGCAGUGGGGAAUAUUGGGCAAUGGACGCAAGUCUGACCCAGCAACGCCGCGUGGAGGAUGAAGGUUCUUGGAUCGUAAACUCCUUUUGCAGGGAAAGACAAGGAUGGUACCCUGAGAAUAAGUCACGGCUAACUACGUGCCAGCCGCCGCAGUAAU